UGAGGAAUUUUGCGCAAUGGGAGCAAUCCUGACGCAGCAACGCCGCGUGGGUGAUGAAGGCCUUCGGGUCGUAAAGCCCUAUCCGGUGGGAAGAAUGUCCAGGGACUGAACAGGUUCCGGGAGUGACGGUACCACCAGAGGAAGCACCGACUAACUCCGUGCCAGCAGCCGCGGUAAUACGGAGGGUGCGAGCGUUAUUCGGAAUUACUGGGCGUAAAGCGCGUGUAGGCGGUCCCGCAAGUCUGAUGUGAAAGCCCCGGGCUUAACACGGGAAGUGCAUUGGAAACGGUGGGAAUGGAGGACUGGAGAGUAUGGGUGGACGGCAGGUGUAGAUGUGUAUAUGGGACAGAUUGGGAGGAACAGCAGUGGCGAAGGCGGCCACCUGGACGGUAACUGACGCUGAGACGCGAAAGCGUGGGGAGCAAACA
rnacentral:rRNA from 1 species